rnacentral:rRNA from 1 species
AGUAAAUAGAUACCCGGGUAGUCCACGCCGUAAACGAUGUCGACUUGGAGGUUGUGCCCUUGAGGCGUGGCUUCCGGAGCUAAACGCGUUAAAGUCGACCGCCUGGGGAGUACGGCCGCAAGGUUAAACUCAAAUGAAUUGACGGGGGCCCGCACAAGCGGUGGAGCAUGUGGUUUAAUUCGAUGCAACGCGAAGAACCUUACCUACUCUUGACAUCCAGAGAACUUAGCAGAGAUGCUUUGGUGCCUUCGGGAACUCUGAGACAGGUGCUGCAUGGCUGUCGUCAGCUCGUGUUGCGAAAUGUUGGGUUAAGUCCCGCAACGAGCGCAACCCUUAUCCUUUGUUGCCAGCGGUUAGGCCGGGAACUCAAAGGAGACUGCCAGUGAUAAACUGGAGGAAGGUGGGGAUGACGUCAAGUCAUCAUGGCCCUUACGAGUAGGCUACACACGUGCUACAAUGGCGCAUACAAAGAGAAGCGACCUCGCGAGAGCAAGCGGACCUCAUAAAGUGCGUCGUAGUCCGG